GAUGAACGCUGACAGCAUGCUUAACACAUGCAAGUCGAUGGGGAAGUGGUGCUUGCACCCUGGUAACCAUGGCGGACGGGUGAGUAACGCGUAAGGAACUUGCCUGCGGGACUGGGAUAACAGCAGGAAACUGCUGAUAAUACCGGAUAAGGUCAUUAAGCUGCAUAGCUUAGUGAUGAAAGGAGACGCCUGCGGAGAGCCUUGCGUCCUAUUAGCUAGUUGGAGGGGUAACGGCCCACCAAGGCGAAGAUAGGUAGCCGGCCUGAGAGGGUGGACGGCCACAAGGGGACUGAGAUACGGCCCUUACUCCUACGGGAGGCAGCAGUGGGGAAUAUUGGACAAUGGGGGCAACCCUGAUCCAGCAAUUCUGUGUGCACGAAGACGGUUUUCGGAUUGUAAAGUGCUUUCAGCAGGGAAGAAGGAAGUGACGGUACCUGCAGAAGAAGCGACGGCUAAAUACGUG
rnacentral:rRNA from 1 species